UGGGGAAUAUUGGGCAAUGGAGGAAACUCUGACCCAGCGACGCCGCGUGAGGGAUGAAGGCCUUCGGGUUGUAAACCUCUUUCAGUAGGGAAGAAGCGAAAGUGACGGUACCUACAGAAGAAGCACCGGCUAACUAUGUGCCAGCAGCCGCGGUAAUACAUAGGGUGCAAGCGUUGUCCGGAUUUAUUGGGCGUAAAGAGCUCGUAGGUCGUUAGUUACGUCGGAUGUGAAAUUUUGGGGCUCAACCCCAAACCUGCAUUCGAUACGGGCUAACUAGAGUUUGGUAGGGGAGACUGGAAUUCCUGGUGUAGCGGUGGAAUGCGCAGAUAUCAGGAGGAACACCGAUGGCGAAGGCAGGUCUCUGGGCCAAUACUGACACUGAGGAGCGAAAGCGUGGGGAGCGAACAGG
rnacentral:rRNA from 1 species